rnacentral:rRNA from 1 species
GUGGGGAAUCUUGCGCAAUGGGCGAAAGCCUGACGCAGCCAUGCCGCGUGAAUGAUGAAGGUCUUAGGAUUGUAAAAUUCUUUCACCGGGGACGAUAAUGACGGUACCCGGAGAAGAAGCUCCGGCUAACUUCGUGCCAGCAGCCGAGGUAAUACGAAGGGGGCUAGCGUUGCUCGGAAUUACUGGGCGUAAAGGGCGCGUAGGCGGACAGCUUAGUCAGAGGUGAAAGCCCAGGGCUCAACCUUGGAAUUGCCUUUGAUACUGGCUGUCUUGAGUUUGGGAGAGGUGAGUGGAACUCCGAGUGUAGAGGUGAAAUUCGUAGAUAUUCGGAAGAACACCAGUGGCGAAGGCGACUCACUGGCCCAAUACUGACGCUGAGGCGCGAAAGCGUGGGGAGCAAACAGGAUUAGAUACCCUGGUAGUCC